GAUGAAGAACGCAGCGAAAUGCGAUAAGUAAUGUGAAUUGCAGAAUUCAGUGAAUCAUCGAAUCUUUGAACGCACAUUGCGCCCGCCAGUAUUCUGGCGGGCAUGCCUGUUCGAGCGUCAUUUCAACCAUCAAGCCCCCGGCUUGUGUUGGGAACCUGCGGCUGCCGCAGGCCCUGAAAACCAGUGGCGGGCUCGCUAGUCACUCCGAGCGUAGUAAUACAUCUCGCUCAGGGCGUGCUGCGGGUUCCGGCCGUUAAAAAGCCUUAUUUACCCAAGGUUGACCUCGGAUCAGGUAGGAAGACCCGCUGAACUUAAGCAUAUCAAUAAGCGGAGGA
rnacentral:misc_RNA from 1 species